AAUGCCUGCCUUAUUGGCCAACUGGAAAUAUUCAGGAUAAGAUUUACCAGUCUGAAGUAUCUACCCAGAGUUCCCCUUAUAGUCACCAAGUAUUUAGAAACACAGAUCAGCUGAAAUUCAUUCCAUCCUCAAACCACCACCUAAAAUAAAUCAGAUCAGCUGUGGGGAUUCUCUCUCCUCUCCCCCUUCCUCUUUUUUUCCCCUUUAGGCAGCUGACAACUGCAGUAAUUGGUACCACUAACAAGACUGAGAUUUGUGGUGUUUAAUUGCAGAGCUUUAGCUGGCGUGAGCUCUAGAAGCAAGAAAAGCAUCUGAGGUAGGUCAGAAGUAGUGUCACAGCAUCUCAACAAAUAUCUGAAGGCAAACAGAUUCCUUGGUUGGGGUUGAGAGCAUCACAGCUGCUUGACAGGCCCAAGUGCCUGGGUGAAGGGAUCAACUGAAACACCAAAUGAAUCAAUAGAAAAUCAUAAACAAAGUCCAUUUUCUGUAACAGAGACUGCAGUUGAGCUGAGGGUAUGAGUGGGAAGGAAAUAAAAUUAGAGCUUUAUUCCGGCCUUGCUAAAGGAACAACUCCUCUCCUAAACUCUGUAAGGGUCAAGAUAGCUGUUAGAAUUAGAAGAUUAAUCUAAUCUAACACAAGACCUGCACCUGCUACAGGGGCUUACUGGAUGCUCCUCAGAUGUUUCUGCUGCAACUGGUCAAUACCACAUCCCUCAGUCUCCUGUCCCAGUACUAGGGUUUGGGAUUUACUUGUGCCAGGUCACGUCUGCUGGUGGGAUGCUACCACAUAUGGACCACAGAAUGAUGAGGAAUUUGUGCCCUGUGUAUGCUGUGCCAAGGCUGUGGGCCAGGCAGGUAUGGGCUGAAUGCCAUCUCCCCUCUC